UGGGGAAUAUUGCACAAUGGGCGCAAGCCUGAUGCAGCCAUGCCGCGUGUGUGAAGAAGGCCUUCGGGUUGUAAAGCACUUUCAGCGGGGAGGAAGGCGUUAAGGUUAAUAACCUUGGCGAUUGACGUUACCCGCAGAAGAAGCACCGGCUAACUCCGUGCCAGCAGCCGCGGUAAUACGGAGGGUGCAAGCGUUAAUCGGAAUUACUGGGCGUAAAGCGCACGCAGGCGGUCUGUCAAGUCGGAUGUGAAAUCCCCGGGCUCAACCUGGGAACUGCAUUCGAAACUGGCAGGCUAGAGUCUUGUAGAGGGGAGUAGAAUUCCAGGUGUAGCGGUGAAAUGCGUAGAGAUCUGGAGGAAUACCGGUGGCGAAGGCGGCCCCCUGGACAAAGACUGACGCUCAGGUGCGAAAGCGUGGGGAGCAAACAGG
rnacentral:rRNA from 1 species